UACGGAGGGUGCGAGCGUUGUCCGGAAUCACUGGGCGUAAAGGGCGCGUAGGCGGCCUGUUAAGUAGGGGGUGAAAUCCUGCGGCUUAACCGCAGGGCUGCCUUCUAAACUGUCAGGCUUGAGCACAGUAGAGGCAGGUGGAAUUCCCGGUGUAGCGGUGGAAUGCGUAGAGAUCGGGAAGAACAUCAGUGGCGAAGGCGGCCUGCUGGGCUGUUGCUGACGCUGAGGCGCGACGGCGUGGGGAGCAAACAGG
rnacentral:rRNA from 1 species